rnacentral:ncRNA from 1 species
GUUUUGAUCCUAAACUUACUACUAUUUUUAACCAAAAUUAUACAUGCAAGCAUCAACACACCAGUGAAAAUGCCCAAUCACACAAACACAGGAGCAGGUAUCAGGCACAUACCACAAUAGCCAAUAACACCUUGUUUCGCCACACCUACACCAGGCCCUCAGCAGUAAUUAAAAUUAGGCAAUAAGUGAAAACUUGACCCAGCUACGGUUAAUAGAACCGGUAAAUUUCGUGCCAGCAACCGCGGUUAUACGAAAAGUCCAAAAUAACAACCAACGGCGUAAAGCGUGACUAGACCCACUUUCCCCCCCCCCACUAAAGGACCACAACAAGCUUAAGCAGUAAUAUGCUAAAAAUAAAAAAAUACCACCACCUUUAGCCCACAGGACUAUCAACUCACAAAAACUAAAAAACAAACUGGGAUUAGAUACCCCACUAUGCUCAGUCAUAACCUUAGAUAUCAACACAUCCGGCAGAGAACUACGAGUGAAAAACUUAAAACCCAAAGGAUUUGGCGGUGCUCUUACCCAACCUAGAGGAGCCUGUCUUAUAAUCGAUACCCCACGAUCAACCUCACCACUAUUUGCACAUCAGCUUAUAUACCGCCGUCGCCAGCUUAUCUUACAAGAGAACAAAAAUAAGCAAAAUAGUACCCCACUAAAACGUCAGGUCAAGGCGUAGCUUAUAAAGUGGCAAAGAUGGGCUACACUUUCUACCCCAGAAAAAACGAAUGGCAAAAUGAAACAAAUGCCAAAAGGCGGAUUUAGAAGUAAAACUAGACAGAACACUAACUUAAACCAGCCAUAGAGCGCGCACACACCGCCCGUCACCCUCCUCAGCCAAUCAACCAAACCAACCAUAUUUCGUCAAACUAACUAAGAUGAGGCAAGUCGUAACAUGGUAAGCGUACUGGAAAGUGCGCUUGGAAUCAUAA